GGGGGCAUAUCAAAUGCUUGAGGCAUCAAAUGCUAGGGUGAUCUUUCGCAAGCUCCACACUCAUUUCAGAGAUUGUUUCUUUACUACCAGAAGUAAAAAUGGCUGGCCAUAAGGUUGCUCAUGCUGCAUUGAAAGGUCCAAGUGUGAUCAAGGAGAUUGGUUUGGGGAUUGCCCUCGGUCUGGUUUGUGGUGGCAUGUGGAAGACAAAGCAGUGGGAGGGGCAGAGAAAAGUCAGGACAUUCUAUGACUUGCUUGAGAAAGGUGAGAUCAGCAUAACUUCUCAAGAGUAGCUGCUCAUUUGCCCUCCUCAUUUUGUUGGAAUUUGCUGCUAAUAAUGUUUUUGGCCCUACUCUUGUUUGUUGUUCCGCGUGCUGUGAUGCCAAUCAACAUACUUUGGAUGCUCUGUCUUUUUUCUUUUUUUUUUUUUGGGCUUCAAGGUGAAUAAGUUCUUUCAACGAAA